UACGUAGGGUGCAAGCGUUAAUCGGAAUUACUGGGCGUAAAGCGUGCGCAGGCGGUUGUGCAAGACAGAUGUGAAAUCCCCGGGCUCAACCUGGGAACUGCAUUUGUGACUGCACGGCUAGAGUGUGUCAGAGGGGGGUAGAAUUCCACGUGUAGCAGUGAAAUGCGUAGAUAUGUGGAGGAAUACCGGUGGCGAAGGCGGCGUUCUGGACUGCAACUGACACUGAUGAACGAAAGCCAGGGGAGCAAACGGG
rnacentral:rRNA from 1 species